GAUCCUUUUUUUGUGGUAUAGUUCUAUAAAAAUGGAACGUGGCCGCCGCACCAUCACCUGUUGGUUUGUGGCGUCCUAAUAUGAAGACUCAGGUUGGGCAUUUUCCACUUUGUGUUUCGAAGCCGCUUCCUCACUGACCAACAACAUGUCCCCAAAACAUCUGUUUCUUGGAGCUGCCAUCACUUAAGAAAUGGGCCUGAAUGUCUUGGCCCAACUGGAGUCGAUGGCUGUUUUGAUGGAGGUCGCCGCCAUGAUGUCACCUGUUGGUUUCUGAAGUCACGUUUUGAACUUUUAUGAGGCGCCUGAUGGCAGCAAGCAACUCUUAAUAUAUGCAAAACAAACCAAAGUACACAAAUCUCCAAAACGUCCCAGCUGUCCCCGAGCUGGUGCUCAUGCGUCUGAGUCUGGAGCGUCUGGAGCCGCAGGCCGACCAAUCAGAAGCUGAACGAUUAGUUCAGUUGUUUUUCUCUAAGGUUGAAUCAUAUUUAACAUCAGCACUUCUUAACGGUAGGACUCGGUCACACAGACCGGUCUGCAAACAUCUGGCAGCCGCCGGCCGUUGCAGCGGUUGCCCAUAGUUUAUUUGGGUGACACCAACCAAAGCAAGCGGGUGGAGGUUAUUGGUACAGCACCAUCCUCCAGCAGCUUCCAGCAACCGUCACCAACCAGGGCACAAACAUCCCAGCGCUGCUGUGGCUCCACAGGACGUCAGCAGCAGGUGUAGAUGCUGCUUCCUGUUACCAGACAGAACUGGCUCUGGUUCGGCCUUCAGGGGAGGACUGCAGAGGAACUCUCAGAUCUGAGUGGAUGAGACUGCAUGAUUUAUUCAGACUCUCCAAACAGCUUCUGUUCAGACAGUUAAUGAACUUAGCAGCGUUUAUGCUUUUAGCUGAUGAUGGCGGUGUUUUCUUACUGUUCCAGCUCGUGAAGCACCGACACACUCGUGUGCUUUAUCGUCAGGGUAACACGAUGCUGAAAAGCCCUUCUGGUUAUGUGUAAUUUCCCAGCAUGCAUUACACAUGGCCGGGAAAGCCUGGGCAGCUCACGGCGAUCGUGUUGAGCAGAGCGGGACUCUUUUUCAUGACUAAAGAUGGGAAGUGAUCAGAGCCACGAGAGGAAGGCUGAGGAGGCCGAGAAGGAAACUGAAAAACACGAGCAGUGUGACACAACUGAGGACGCGACUCCUGAAGAGGUGCCAGGAGAGCUGCCCCAGUGCAGGAUGGGAAACAGGAGGGUGGACAGCAUGUGUUUCAUGAUCUCGUGCACUAACUGGUACUGAACUGGUCCCCGUGUGUUGGGCUCGUGAUGAAACAGACGCACACUGGAGGAUCUGUCUGCGUCUGUGCUGCUACAACAACAAAUGCACCGGACUUCACUUUCCUUCAACUCGAAAACAAGACUAAUGAUAAGAGGAAGGGAUGGAAAAGGAUUUCAAACGAUGGGUCACAAGAGUCGUGGACUGUGUGGGAGAUGCUUGGAUUUCUGGUCAUGCCAAUAAAGACUGAACAAAAGUAAAGAAGUGUUGCUCGUCAUGCUCUGUGGGUCAGAGAGACGCGAGAGCUGAACUAAGGUUGCUCACUUCAGCUGUUGAUGUUCAAAAAGAAUUAGACUAGAAAGGAAAGGAAAGGAGGAUGGAAGAGGGAAAGGAAGGAAAGAAGGAGAUUGGGAAAGGGAAGGAAGUAAGGAAAGGAGAAGGAGGCAUAAAAAGGAAGAAAGCUGACAACGGAAGGAAAGGAAGGAAGAAAACGAAAGAAGAAAGGGGGUUAGGGAAGAGGCAGGAAGGAAGGGAAAACGGAUGACAGAAAGAGAGGAAAGGAAGGAAGAAAGGAAAGGAAAUGAGAGUACCUAAGGAAGGAAUGAAACGGGAAGAAGAAGACUAAGAAGGAAAGGGAACAAAGAAGCAGGUAGGAACAAAGGAAGGAAAGAAGGAUGAAAUAAGGAUAGC
ensembl:lncRNA